AAUAUUGCGCAAUGGGCGAAAGCCUGACGCAGCAACGCCGCGUGGGGGAUGACGGCCUUCGGGUUGUAAACCCCUUUCAGCAGGGACGAAAAUGACGGUACCUGCAGAAGAAGCCCCGGCCAACUACGUGCCAGCAGCCGCGGUAACACGUAGGGGGCAAGCGUUGUCCGGAUUUAUUGGGCGUAAAGAGCUCGUAGGCAGUUGCGUAAGUCGGAUGUGAAAACUCAGGGCUCAACCCGGAGACGCCAUUCGAUACUGCGCUGACUAGAGUCCGGUAGGGGAGCAUGGAAUUCCUGGUGUAGCGGUGAAAUGCGCAGAUAUCAGGAGGAACACCAGUGGCGAAGGCAGCACUCUGGGCCGGUACUGACGCUCAGGAGCGAAAGCGUGGGUAGUAAACAGGAUUAGAUACCCUGGUAGUCCACGCCGUA
rnacentral:rRNA from 1 species